rnacentral:ncRNA from 10 species
UACGUUCAUCCCCUAACAUAGGGGACGCAAGUACUCUACGAAUGAGAGGAAGGAACGGGAA